rnacentral:tRNA from 1 species
GGUUUGGUCCCGUUACUCGGAGGUUCGAUCCUUCCGUCCCAGA